rnacentral:rRNA from 1 species
GAUGAACGCUGGCGGCGUGCCUAACACAUGCAAGUCGAACGGAGAUAGAUAGCGGAAGUUUUCGGAUGGAAGGUAUGUAUCUUAGUGGCGGACGGGUGAGUAACGCGUGGGUAACCUGCCGUAUACAGGGGGAUAACACCUGGAAACAGGUGCUAAUACCGCAUAAGCGCACGGUAUCGCAUGAUACAGUGUGAAAAGCCGAGACGGUAUACGAUGGACCCGCGUCUGAUUAGCCAGUUGGCAGGGUAACGGCCUACCAAAGCGACGAUCAGUAGCCGGCCUGAGAGGGUGGACGGCCACAUUGGGACUGAGACACGGCCCAA